UAAAAAUUCUGUCUGUUCAUGCUGCAUCAACCGUGGUUUUAUUUGUGUUACUUCUAGCCAGAUGGGAAAGACAUUAGCUAAUGUGGUCUGUGCUUAUGUCACAGAGGGAGGGAACUCCAUUAUGCCUCAGAGCAACCACAGCCCUUUCUGCUGCCUCUGAUCAUCCGAAACCCAUCCCAACGGCUGGCAUGUGGCUGCGGUCACUCCUUGGGCGUGCCUAGCUCCUGCGGUGGUUUCCUCAAGACUGAUUGGCUUCAUUCUCAGCAAGCUCUCUUCACAUGGAGGGAAAGAAGCUCCUGGCAGCCACACGUUCGUCUGGUGGUUACAGUUCAUGAUCUCCGGAGGAGAAAGACUUCCAACAUUCCCACCCCUCUCUGGACAGCGACUCUGCUUGGCUCCAUUUGGGUCACGUACCCACCUCUGGACCCAUCACUGUCACCUGGAAACAGGGGUGGCUUCAGCCAGCCUCAUGUCUAGGCAAGGAGCAGACUCCAUACCCGGUGCUCACAAACUCCAGAGAACAGAGGUCAAAUUCCCCAAGACCACACAAAAACAUGUAUAUGUGUGUUCCUAGCAGCAUCACUGAUAAAAGUGGAAACAAGUCAAAUGUCCAUCAACAGAUGAAUGGAUAAACAGAAUGUGCUACAGACAUACAAUGGACGAUUAUUCAGCCAUCAAUAGGAGUGAAGUUCUGAUACAUGCUACAACAUGGAUGAACCUUGAGUACAUUAUGCUAACUAGAAGAAGCAAGACACAAAAGGCCACAUGUUGUAUGAAUCCAUUUAAAUGAAAUGUUCAUAACAGGCAAAUCCACAGAGAUGGAAAGCAGGUUAGUGAUUGCCAGGGGCUGGGAGAAGGAGAGAUGGGGUGUCACUGCUAAUAAGUACAAGUUUCUUUGGGGGGUGGUAAAAAGUGUUCUAAAAUUUGAUAGUUGUGAUGGUUACACAACUCUGUGAAUACUCAGUUUUUAAACCAUUGAAGUGUAUACUUUAAAAGGGUGAAUUUGAUAGUAUGUGAAUUAUAUUUCAAUAAAGUUGUUAUUAAAAACAAUUCUCCCAAGAACUCUCUUGUUGGAGUUGGGUGAGGGACCCCAGGUCAUAGGAACAGUUUGGGGCUCCUCUUAGCAAGCCCUGGUGUUGGUCCAGCCCCUCUCCACAGAAGGUGGAGGUACACUGUGCUCCCAUCUAGUCAUUUUACACUGGGUCCUUUCCCAGGCUCUAAGAGGAAUCAAGAUGCAUAUAGCGUCCUUGCCAACCUUCACAUGGGCUAUUUGCUUUUCAAAAUUUUCAGCAGACGUAGAAAUCCCUGCCCACACAGCUACAGAAACCGUCACUGUCUGUUGAAAGACAAGGGACACUCCACUGCUUUGUGAUCUCAGAGAGAGAGGAACGAUAUUCACUGAAUCCCAUCAUUGAAGGUGCUGAUGCAACCCUGGGAGCUCAGCCUCACGCAGCAAGUGGUUCCCUCACAGCAUCGUGCAGCUGUUUGCACUGUUGAUGAUUCCACUCGUUGUGGGUACAGUUUGAGGAGGAAUAUGCUUUAUUCAAUCACAGUUUCACUGAGGGUCUACUAUGGCUGGGCACUCAGGUGACAAGGGUGAACAACACAGGCAGGCUCCUUGCCCCCCCUGAGCUCACCUCACCUACCUCAUCAGUUAGGAAGUAUUACGACGAUGCUGCCAUGCUUCUGUCAGCGAUUACCAGUGAUCAAGACAAGAUCAUGAUCUAGCAGAUACUGGUGAGUUGUAUUAUACAAUCAGAAAAAGCAUCUGAGCUAUUAAAAAUGUAGUAACACAUAAGCACACAUACACACGCCGCACCGUGUAAGCACUAGAAUUGAAAUCCUUCAAGAUUAUGUGUUGCAAAACAGAUAUGCUUGUGGUCACACCCUUUUUUCUGACUACAUAUUAGUGCCAUAACAUUGUACCUAACACAAUGAGAGGAAGAGAAAGGUUCCCCUUCCCAAAAGGUUACGCAGGAUUCUUAUGCAAAGAUUAAUAAAUCCUUUGUUUUCUCAAAAGGCAUGUCACAGUUCUGCUUUUAUAGAAGUAGUCAUACUUUGAGAGGUUUUUUUUCCAAAAUUCUAAUGGUUACGUUGAUAGUUGGGAAGUUAUGCAUGUGUGGAGGAGAGGGUAUCUGGGAAAUCUCUACUUUCCUCUCAGUUUUGCUGUGAACCUAAACCUGCUCUUAAAAAAUGUGUUGAAAAAAUUCUAAUAGUUACUGUGUUUCUAUUAACCAUCACAUGGUUAAACUGUGUAAUUGAUGUCUAGUUUGCUUCUCCCCUAAAACAAGAUACUUUCCAACCUUCUCCCAUCCUCUAAUUCCUCCAAAUUUGCAGUGAAUUGGACCAAACACUGUCCCAGUCCGGACUCACCACCUCACUCUAUCUAGAAUGAAUAUUACACCUUUUCAAGAACAAACCGUCUUCCUACAUCCCCAGGUCCCUUGUUCUCACAGCCAGCGACACCUCUCACUUCGGGACUGCUGGCCUCAAGUACUUGAUGUAUGUGUGUGUGUGUUCAUAUUCCUCACCUGUCAGAGGUUGAGUAGGGGAGGUAAAUAUGAAUAUGCCUGUUUAAACAAAUGUCAUCCAGACUUAGAACCAGAAGGAAGCCUGCGGAGCAUCAAACCCAAGUCUCUCACUUUUCAGAUGAAGAAACUCAGGCUUGGGGA